rnacentral:rRNA from 1 species
GGUGGCUAAGUCAGCCAGGUGUGAAAGCCCCGGGCUCAACCUGGGAACGGCAUCUGGAACUGCUUGGCUAGAGUGCAGGAGAGGAAGGUAGAAUUCCCGGUGUAGCGGUGAAAUGCGUAGAGAUCGGGAGGAAUACCAGUGGCGAAGGCGGCCUUCUGGACUGACACUGACACUGAGGUGCGAAAGCGUGGGUAGCAAACAGGAUUAGAUACCCUGGUAGUCCACGCCGUAAACGAUGUCAACUAGCCGUUGGGUCCCUUGAGGACUUAGUGGCGCAGCUAACGCAAUAAGUUGACCGCCUGGGGAGUACGGCCGCAAGGUUAAAACUCAAAUGAAUUGACGGGGGCCCGCACAAGCGGUGGAGCAUGUGGUUUAAUUCGAUGCAACGCGAAGAACCUUACCUACCCUUGACAUCCAGAGGACUUUCCAGAGAUGGAUUGGUGCCUUCGGGAACUCUGAGACAGGUGCUGCAUGGCUGUCGUCAGCUCGUGUUGUGAAAUGUUGGGUUAAGUCCCGUAACGAGCGCAACCCCUAUCCUUAUUUGCCAGCGAGUAAUGUCGGGAACUCUAAGGAGACUGCCGGUGACAAACCGGAGGAAGGUGGGGACGACGUCAAGUCAUCAUGGCCCUUACGGGUAGGGCUACACACGUGCUACAAUGGCAAGUACAAAGGGUUGCAAUACUGCGAAGUGGAGCCAAUCCCAUAAAGCUUGCCUCAGUCCGGAUUGGAGUCUGCAACUCGACUCCAUGAAGUCGGAAUCGCUAGUAAUCGUGGAUCAGAAUGCCACGGUGAAUACGUUCCCGGGCCUUG